AUUGAACGCUGGCGGCAUGCCUUACACAUGCAAGUCGAACGGCAGCAUGGAGAGCUUGCUCUCUGAUGGCGAGUGGCGAACGGGUGAGUAAUGCAUCGGAACGUACCGUGUAAUGGGGGAUAACGUAGCGAAAGUUACGCUAAUACCGCAUACGACCUGAGGGUGAAAGCAGGGGAUCGCAAGACCUUGCGUUAUACGAGCGGCCGAUGUCAGAUUAGCUAGUUGGUGAGGUAAAGGCUCACCAAGGCGACGAUCUGUAGCGGGUCUGAGAGGAUGAUCCGCCACACUGGGACUGAGACACGGCCCUGACUCCUACGGGAGGCAGCAGUGGGGAAUUUUGGACAAUGGGGGCAACCCUGAUCCAGCCAUGCCGCGUGAGUGAAGAAGGCCUUUUGGUUGUAAAGCACUUUAAGCGAGGAGGAGGCUACUUAGAUUAAUACUCUAGGAUAGUGGACGUUACUCGCAGAAUAAGCACCGGCUAACUCUGUGCCAGCCGCCGCGGUAAAAC
rnacentral:rRNA from 1 species